rnacentral:rRNA from 1 species
GUACACGCUGUGACUAGCAUAUCAAUAAGCGGAGGAAAAGAAACUAACAAGGAUUCCCCUAGUAACGGCGAGUGAAGCGGGAAGAGCUCAAAUUUGAAAUCUUAAAGGGUUUCCCUUUACGAAUUGUAGUUUAAAGAAGUGUUUUCUGUUGAGGUUUUGGUAAAAGUUCUUUGGAAUAGGACAUCAUAGAGGGUGAGAAUCCCGUAUUUGACCUUUACUUUCAACUUUGUGAUACACUUUCAAAGAGUCGGAUUGUUUGGGAAUGCAGUCCAAAAUGGGUGGUAAAUUUCAUCUAAAGCUAAAUAUUGGCGAGAGACCGAUAGCGAACAAGUACCGUGAGGGAAAGAUGAAAAGAACUUUGAAAAGAGAGUUAAACAGUACGUGAAAUUGUCAAAAGGGAAGCGUUUGACACCAGUAUUGUUUUUCUGAAAAUCAAUUAAAGAACUGUUUAUGCUAAGUGUUUAGACUUUAUCAGCUAUCUGUUUAGUUUUGAGCUUUUCUUUAAUGCACUUUUCAGUUAACAAGUCAACAUCAAUUUCUUUUGCUGUAAAAAAGCUUGAGGAAGGUGGCUUGAGAUUCGUCUUAAGUGUUUAUAGCCUCUUGCCUAUGCAGUCGGAGAGAUUGAGGUCUGCAGCGUAGAUCCUUCGGGGCUAAAUGCAUUUGUGCUAAGUUAUAGCAUUUUAUAGACAACUUGUUGACUAUGAUUUGUCUUGUAGCUUACUCACUUAUGUUAUUUUACCUACGCUUAGGAUGUUGAAGAUGUAGCACAUCAU